GGAGAAACAGGUUUACCUUUUAGGUGACAUGAAUGAGUUGAAGUUAUGAACUGUUUCUGAGAGACAAAUAACACCAGGAUCCUUUUCUAUGUAGCUGACAGCUGGUAACUGUGCAGGGGCGGGUCUAGCAAAGUUUUGACAGGGGGCCAGGUUGGGCAUUAACAGGGAAAAGGGGGGCACAAGGAAAUACUUUUCUUUGUUAUGUCAUAUAUUCCUUUUUUAAAAUUUUUACAGUUCAGUAAGUUAUUUUUUUUAAAACGUUUAAGCAGGAUUUUAAACAUAAAUCACUUAGUUAUGUUUAAAAACUUUGAAUAAAUAAUUAUCUGAAUCUUACAACCAAAGUGGUCAUCUGAUUAAAUGUAUAGAAAUCCAUUAUUGUAUAUAGUAACUAUUAAGUCUAAUAUACACCCUAGUAAGCUAUAGUACUUUUUCCUUUGGGAAGGUACCAUCUGUGCAGUCUGCAAUUCUGUUGAAGAAAGAUGUUGAAUCUAUUUAAUUAUUGUAGAAAAAUAAUUGAUUUCUGUGCAUUUGCUUUACACGUGCAUUAAAGUUGAUUAUGUCGAUUAAGCAUUGUGAGGUGGAGGGUGGGGGGUGGUUUCCUAAUAUUUUUGCUGGGAGUUGGCAACCCUAUUAGUUAGGUUGCUUAAUAUUUCCACUAAGUACUCUUUAAAAUACCAGAAUAGGGAGGAUGGUGUAGGUUUAAAUUUAUUAGAUUGAUCAGUGUUGCUGAACUAUAAAAUGUUUUGGGUGGAGUGUAUUUUUUGCAUACAGGUAUAACUGAAUAACUUCAGUCUCUUGUUUUUUUAAAACUUGAGUAUGAACUUCUACAAAAUGCAGCAAGAUAUUUAUAAAAAAAAAAGUUUUAUUGAUUACAAAAUACACUAUAUCGGAUUCAUGUCGGUAUCGGCAGAUAUCCAAAUUUAUGAUAUCGGAAUCGUUAUCGGACAUUAAAAAGUGGUAUCGUGCCAUCUCUAAUUAAAACACACCUUUCACCUUUUGGUCACAUCAAAAUAAAACAGAUGUGACGGUCAACACAAAAGUUUUCAGACAUUUUUCAUGGUGCAUGUUGGAGGUUUAUUUUUUCAUUUCCAAAAACAUAAUUUGUUUAUCACAAUUCAGUGGGCUACAUAGUGGAAACAAAAGUAUCCAUUCUAUCACGCUAGUAUCAAUAGCGGGGUUGGUAUCAAUACUAUCGAUGUUUGAUGAUCCACCCUACCAAAAUCAAAUCUUUAAAAUUAAAAAAGCAUUUUAAUGUUGGAUUCAGUGGGCAUUGACUUGAUUUUGGAGCCAGCCCCAAGUGGCCAUUUGGGGGACUGCUAUUUUUACAAUUUGGGGAGCUGCUUUGUUAUUAUUCAGCAGUCUAACUCAAUGGUUUUUUUUUCCAACAAAUAUGAUGAAAUAACUUAACUGUAAUAAUCCUUAAAUGUUCUGAACCCUUACCGAUUUCAAACAUUCAGAAAGUUUAGAUAAACACUUGGUCUAUAUAAAAUUAUCAUUUGAGCUCAUGUAAAUGUUCACGGUGUUGCAGGUACAAUUGGUGCGUUAAACAAAGUUUGUCUUCACAGCUCAUUAAUGUGUCUUACAAUUUGUUGUCUGACUAGAAGUGCUUUCAGAGUUCGGACAGGACAAAGUGAUAAUGCCUUGAUACUUGCCUUUAGUCUUUAAUACUGUAGGUCCAUCUGUUGUAUAAAUAUGCAUUUGUCAUUCAGACGUGAUCUUGAGGGGAUUGGCCUUGCUGUUCAUUCAAGUUGUGUUUUUGGCAUCUGCAGUAUGAUAAACUGGAGUGCGCCACAAUAACGACACCAGCAAAAAGAAAAAGACUAACUUUAGCUUGCUGUCCCAACACUUUGACCGUGUACAUACAAUAAAUGUUUGAAAGUCCUUUUCAGAUCUCUGAGCUAUCUGAGGGGUGCUUGAUUUACCACUUCAGACGCCUCAACAGUCUCAGGAGGGGAAACAUCAAGCUUUUCAAAAUGAAUUGGGAUUCCUUGGUAAUAUCAAGCAGCCAUUGGAGACCCAUAGAAACUGCAGAAUCUGCAGAGAAAUUGAAGUAAGUCUGACAUCGGUCCAGUUACAGGUAAAUACAACAAAUGUGUUGCACUUUGUAACAACUGAAUUAAAAAGUAAAUUAAUGUCUCCCCUGUAAUCUGUCACCUAAUGAUGUCUGUCUUGUCAUUCUUUUGGAAGUAAAAAAUAUAUACCAGUAAUAACAAUAACAAUAUUUAUUUAUAUUUAUAUUAAUUUCUGUUGUAUGUUACAAAACAGUAAAAUUAUGAUUGUGAGAUAAAAAGCUGUUGUUGUGCAAUUCUUAUAAGAUUUGUGUUGAAUCUACAUCUAAAUAUUAAUGGUACUUUUUUGUACUCUGCACAUAUCUGAACUUGCAGUAUUUGAGGAUUUUGAAAUACACAAUUGGAUAUUACAGAUAUUUGUCUUUUCUGUUUCUAUAAAAAAGAAAAAGUAAUUUAGAUCUUUUUACUUUUGUAAGCCACCAAAUGAGGAACUUACUUUGGCUAGCUGCUAGCAUGCACUGUAUGCUAGGUUAGAAAAAGUUGGGGACAACUGCUCUUUACUUUUUUACUUAUAUAAACAUGUCUUUUUAUAUUUGUUUAAGACUGCAAAGCAUUUUUCAGUUGUUAUUUAACCUACAUAUGUAGAUUUUUAAAUGUCAACACUUUUUUCAGAGUCUUGUUUUUUUUUCAGUGGCCAUGACAAAAGCUAGCAGAUUUUGUUGCUAAC
ensembl:lncRNA